CCAAAGUGCAAAACUGCCAACUUCUCUAAUCCAAGCCAGGUGAGAACUUCAGGUUUUCCCUUCAUUCCUAAUAAGGGCUUUGAGACAAUGAAAAGUUUCGUUCCCUGUAGUCAUGGCAGACCACUGAGCUACUGCUAAGCAAACACAGGAACGUGUGCAUCAGUCUCAUUUUUACCACCUGGCACAUGUGAAAAGCAAGCAUCAAUCCUUGCUUAUCACAGGAACAACUGGAGCAUGUAUGGCAAGAAUAUAUUGGUGUCCUUUUAGGAAAUACCUCUUUAGCUGAAAAAGGUGGCAGGGAGCCCAGUGGCUCGCUGGCUGUGGCUCAAAUAAAAGCAGUGCUGUACAGAAGGCAGAUCAUCCCCCUGUUGAAUGGAGAGCACACUAUCUGCUGUACACAGUCAGCAAGGAAAUGCCACAAACCUCCAGUGACUGCAUUUUAUGGGAUUGACCUGUGGUGGACUCCACUGUGUUUACUGCCAAUUUGGGAUGAUGCAUUGCUGCACAGUGCUACCAAUAAAUGGGAGGUUUGAGGUAGCAGGAAAAGAACAGAAUGGUGCAAAACUAUACUCAGACUGCAGUGCUUACCAGUGUGUUUGCCAGGCAGAAGGAGGCUUAAUUCCUUCUCAUAAGAAUAACUGCACUGCGAUGGUGGAAAUGACUGUGAACUUCAGAAUUCGAGGAGGCUGUUCUAAAAAAGGCUGGGAAAAGUGUGAAAAUGCUCUAAAAGUACAGCUGGUCAUCCUAAGUACAAAUGAGAGAUCUACAAGGUGUUGUUCCACCAGAGGAAGAUCCUGUACUCUGCAGACCCACUAUAGACCUGACUGUAGCAGAAGGGGAGCAGCCUAUCUACUUACAGAUCAAUUCCAAAAGGUAAGUGUGGGAAUGGAAAUGAGGGUAGAAAUAGAAAAAAGUCCUUCUGAACUUUAAGAAACUCAGAGUCAUUUUCUGUGGAUUUGAGCUAUGCUUAUAGAUCUGGUCUUGACCUUACAUAGAUUGUCAUGUUUGCAUCACUACUCCUAGGGCUGGAAAUACCUCAGUGGCUCUUGGGUUGUUUACAGAUUCAACUGUGAUUUUGAUCAAUAUGAUGUGUUUCUAGGGGACUUUUGAUUGCUGAGGGUUUUACCAGAGCCUUAAGUGGAAAAAAUGUUUUGCUCCCCAGAGAAUUUGCACAUGGUGCUUCUGGGAAAUGUUUGAAUCUUUUGGUUUGUUUUGAGCUAGAUCAAAAAGUCUUCUUCUGGACUGUUUUAUGGCUGAGCUUCUGUGUCCCUGAACUGAUGCAAAGUCGCUCAUGUGGCAUUGUUUUAUUGCCUCGUGCUUUUGAACCAUGGACUUCCUGGCCAGAUUGUGUC
rnacentral:lncRNA from 1 species